GGUCUUACGUAGGAAAGAUGGCGGCGGCGCAAGUGGCGGGUUCCUUGCCGAGCGGGCCGGCGCCAGAGGCGCAGCGGGAGCCACCCCUCGAGCAGGGCCGUGGGUUCCGCUGCUUGUCAGCCAGGCUGUGCGCCCUGCGCCCGGAUGACAGCAGCUCCAGCCGCACCGAGAUCCACCUGCUCUUCGACCAGCUCAUCUCCGAGAACUACAGCGACGGCAGCGGCGUGGCCCCGGAGGACGUCAGUACUCUUCUUGUCCAAGCUUGCCAACUGGUGCCUCUUAAUCAGAAUCAUCUUGUCAGCAAAUUGUCUCAGCUUAUCCACCAUUUACUUAACACACUACAGGUGAUUGUCGAUGAACAGAACCUGGAUUUCCUGUUGGCAUACACCAUUUCUGCUAUUCAGCAGUGCAGCUCCUGGACACACAUGCAGAUUCUCCAAGCCUUGGCAGCCCUGGUUUACUGCAAUGGCUCAAAGUGUCAAAAGUACCUCCCAGACUUGCUUGGCAAGAGCGGACUCUUGAUGAAGCUGAGUGACUUGGCUCAGUCGGACCCUGAAGUUAGGAGAGCUGCAGUGCAUUGUAUGGCAAACUUAUGUCUCAGUGUGCCAGGACAGCCGUACUUGGAGGAGCCCUACCAAAAUAUCUGCUUCCAAGCUUUCUUGACCACUUUACAGGCUCCAAAAUCAUCUGAUAUGGAUGAUAUCACGUUUUGCAUGUUGUUACAAAAUGCAUUAAAAGGUAUACAGUCUCUUCUAAAUGGUGGGAAGAUGAAACUGACACAGACUGAUGAACUUGGAGCUCUUCUGGCUGUGCUAAAGAAAACCAUGUUCCAUGGACUCCCUGGACUAAACAUAGAGAUGCCCACGGUGUUGUACCCCACUCCACUUCCUCAGUAUGAUGGACGACCCCCCAUCAAACCGCAACAGACAGAAUCCAGCACUACUCGACCAGCUGUGAAUAAAAGGAAAAAAUCAAAAGUAAAAGCGAAGAAAAUCCAGCAAGGAGAGGAGGAGGAGGAAGAAUCCAGUGGUGAAAGAGAAGUAGCCCCAGUCACUGGCUCAAGCAGGCUGAACCCGCAUAAAGGGGACACUCAGUGCCCCUCCUCCCUGGGUGUUCUGAGUUUGCCAUUAGCUGGAAGUGGAGCUGCAGGAAAAGACCAAGUCUCCUCAUCCUUCAGUUCUUCCAGUUGGAAGAGAGUCAGCAGUAGUGAGUCAGACUAUUCUGAUGCUGAAGGAGGCAUGCAGAAUAAAGUGAGGUCUUACCAAGCCAAAGUUCGCCAAGGAGCAUUAGCCUGUUUUCUUUCUACUAUAAAAUCAAUAGAAAAAAAAGUUCUUUAUGGCUACUGGUCAGCCUUUGUUCCUGAUACACCUGAGCUUGGAAGCCCACAGUCUGUGUCUUUGAUGACCCUGACAUUAAAAGAUCCUUCUCCAAAGACGCGUGCCUGUGCUCUGCAAGUUUUAUCUGCCAUCUUGGAAGGCUCAAAGCAGUUUCUUUCUGUUGCUGAAGAUACCAGUGACCACAGAAGGGCUUUCACUCCCUUUUCUGUAAUGAUUGCUUCUAGCAUUAAAGAGUUGCACAGAUGUCUUUUGUUAGCUUUGGUGGCUGAAUCAUCUUCACAGACCCUUACUCAGAUAAUUAAGUGCCUUGCAAACUUAGUAUCAAAUUCACCUUAUAACCGUCUGAAACUCAGCCUGCUGACCAAAGUCUGGAACCAGAUAAAGCCUUAUAUCCGCCACAAAGAUGUUAAUGUUCGUGUGUCAAGUCUCACACUGUUGGGGGCCAUAGUGUCCACUCAUGCACCUUUACCUGAAGUCCAGCUACUUUUACAACAGCCCUGUUCUUCUGGACUCAGCAAUAGCAAUUCAGCCACUCCUCACGUCAGUCCUCCUGAUUGGUGGAAGAAAGCCCCUUCAGGACCCCCUCUGGAAGAAGCUGCAGUUAGCUCGCCAAAGGUGUCUUCAGAGCCCUGCUGGCUCAUUCGACUUUGCAUUUCCAUUGUUGUUCUGCCCAAGGAAGACGCCUGUUCAGGUAGCGAUGCUGGCUCCACAGGAGGAAGCACCUAUGAGCCAUUCCCCUUGCGACUGGAGGCCUUACAGGUGUUGGCUCAUCUGGCAAGGGGCUACUUUUCAAUGACUCAGGUCUACUUGAUGGAGCUUGGAGAGGUGAUUUGCAAGUGCCUGGGGGAGGCAGAUCCAUCUGUCCAGCUUCAUGGAGCAAAGCUUCUGGAAGAACUGGGUACAGGCUUAAUACAACAGUAUAAGCCAGAUUCUUCCAUAGCGCCUGAUCAGAGGGUGCCAGUCACCUUGGUGGUGAUGUUCUGGACUGUGAUGUUGAACGGUCCUUUACCCAGAGCCCUGCAGAAUUCAGAGCAUCCGACUCUGCAGGCGAGCGCCUGUGAUGCCCUGUCUUCCAUCUUGCCGGAAGCCUUCAGCAAUCUGCUGAGUGACAGGCAGAUCCUGUGCAUCACCAUGCUGCUGGGGCUGAAUGACAGCAAGAACCGUUUAGUGAAAGCUGCGACCUCUCGGGCCCUUGGGGUCUACGUGCUUUUUCCUUGUCUCAGACAGGAUGUCAUAUUUGUUGCAGACACAGCAAAUGCAAUAUUGAUGUCACUUCAAGACAAGUCUCUUAAUGUCCGGGCCAAAGCAGCCUGGUCCCUAGGCAACCUGACAGACACUCUGAUUGUCAACAUGGAAACACCAGACCCAAGCUUCCAGGAAGAGUUCUCUGGCCUCCUGCUCUUGAAGAUGCUGCGAUCAGCUAUAGAGGCAUCCAAGGAUAAAGACAAGGUAAAAAGCAAUGCAGUCCGGGCCCUUGGAAAUUUGCUUCAUUUUCUGCAACCAUCUCAUAUAGAAAAACCCAGAUUUGCUGAAAUCAUUGAGGAGGCUAUCCAGGCCCUAAUUUCUACUGUUCUAAUUGAGGCUGCCAUGAAAGUCCGAUGGAAUGCUUGUUAUGCAAUAGGAAAUGUAUUUAAAAAUUCUGCUCUUCCCUUAGGAACAGCCCUGUGGACCUCCCAGGCCUACAAUGCCCUGACAUCAGUUGUGACAUCAUGCAAGAACUUCAAAGUGCGCAUCAGAUCUGCCGCUGCCCUUUCCGUCCCGGGCAAGAGAGAGCACUAUGGGUCUGUUGACCAGUACGCUCAGAUCUGGAAUGCAUUGGUCACUGCCUUACAGAAGAGCGAAGACACCACAGACUUUUUGGAAUUCAAGUACUGUGCUAGCCUACGGACCCAAAUCUGCCAGGCACUGAUUCACCUCUUGAGCUUGGCCAGCACCUCAGACCUGUCCUGCAUCAAAGAAACCCUUGAAUUGAAUGGGGACAUGGUCCAGUCCUAUAUCCUACAGUUUUUAAAAUCAGGAACAGAGAGAGAUGACACUGGAGCACCCCACAGCCCACAGGAAAGAGACCAGAUGGUCAAAACAGCCCUGGAGCACAUAAGCAGUGUCCAGGCACUGGCUGGCGACACAGCCAAAAGGGCCAUCAUGCGCUUUUUAGAAGAUAUCCUGACUGUUUAUUUUGACUCAUCUGGAUCACAGCACUCUUAGGAUUAACAAAUCGGUGUCCAGGUUUCUGAAAACAGAUGUUAAUAUUCGUAUGCAGGGAAAAAGCAAGGUCCUAGCCCACCCUGUCUCUCCCACUGCAUGCAGCUGUAGUGCCUGGACUCAAUGCAUGGAGCAGCUAUCUUGGAAAGGAAAGAAUAACAGGAAGAUCAGGGAAGGAAAGGAGAACUCCGAGUACCACCAAACUGGCACUGCAGGACCAGAAACUAAAAUCAGAGACCAGUAAAGAAGAGAAGGGUCCUCCUGCAAGUGUUUCUCCUUGCUUCCUUUAAAUGUCAGUGACUUCACGUCUCCCUCUCCUGAUUGACACCCAGCUGUGGGCUUGCUUGGCUCAAGGAAGAAUCAUGGAUCUGUGAACUUUGGCAGAAGGGAGGGACAUAUUUGUCCUCAAGGCUGCCUCGUGUCCUGGGCAACCACUGGGGUGCUGGAAAACACAACUGCUCCUCUCCUGACGUUGUUUUGAAAUAGCCAGGGCAAUUUGGACCCUUCAGCCACAGAAGUCAAUUGUAUACUGAAGCUGAAAUGCAAGCCACGCUGCUCCCCCCACUCGCUUUUGUAUUCCGUCCGUCCCCUACCUCAUCGUAACACUUACUAAGACUCUGGCCUCCUUUCCACUCAUUAUAGGUGCCCAUGCGGACGAUCUGCAUUACUUAGUUUUCAUUGAUGUCAGUGGUGGUAAUGAUUAAGUGGAAACACCCCACCCCAUUCAAACGUCUCCCUCUUCCCUGCUGAUCCCCAUUGCGAGCGAAAGUGCAGUGUGCCUUCCAGUAUUCCUCCCAGAACUUGUGGCUGGAGUGCAAGUGAGGUGACACAGUGGAAAGCAAAUCCUCUUGACUCCAGUCACACCACCACCUUCCAGCAGCUCCAAAUGUCAGCCUCCUCCCCAGGCAGAUGCAGCAGUCUUUGGAAAAGCUCAAUGGAUAGUUCACUACCAAGUGGUACCAAACAAUAACUGAAGGUAUAAGCGAAGCAGAAGUAUAUGCUUAUAUAAAAGUGUAUCAGGAUGCACACUUCUGAUGUGUUCUCUUUACAUAAAUUGUAACCCAGGAUAAAAAUUUUAAUAAAGCAGAAUUCUAGAAUCCUAACCAAUGUAGGAUCUAGGCGAGGGGGCAAUCAAGAACGCUGUUACCCACUUUAAGAUCCCAGUGUUCUGGGUUGCCUUUGACAAGAGAAUAUCAAAACAGUGAAGAAUGAUAGCCAAUUGUUGUUUCAAAAACAGAACAAUAAAAGGUAAGGCACCCCACCACCCCACACACAUACACUUGGCCUCACAUUCUCAAUCCCUAGAAUAGAUUUGAAAAAGAAAAGCCCAAGAAAUUCCAAGCAUGCAUACCUCCCCAGAUAAGACAGAAAUGGAAGAAAACCAAACUUUUUAAAGUAAGCAUUUUGAUCUUCAUGCAAACAUGGAGUUAAUCUUGGGACAGCUAAGCACAAUUACACAGAUGAAUUCAUUGUGUGAAAUGGUCAUUGAGCGUAGAGAAUGUUAGUGCCAGUUCAGAGUCCAAGCUCUGUAGGGGUCAUACCUGAAUCUGCUGAGCUGAGCACAUGGAAACCUCAGUGUGUAUUCAGGCUUGACCGCUCUUUUUAAUUGAUUUCAGAGUUGCUCGCUGGGGUGGCUUCAGGAAAUGCAAAUAGAAGGUCCAUAGUGGUGUUUGAAGACUGCAGGGUUUUGAUGCAUGUUAAAAUGAAAAUAUAAAUAAAAAUCUCUG